AUGGGCAUAGAGAUGGAUGCCAAGUUGGAUGCCGUUCACAAUCUUUUCCCUGGCCCAGCGAGAGAUGCCAAAGUUGGCAAUCAGAGCCAUGACUGGCACAGCAAAAAACCUUUGGAGUGUACGCAGUGAAGAAGGGGAUGUAGAAAGGUUGUUUUUCAGGGUAGUGUUUGAGGGACACCAGCACAGCGUAGCAGAACCAUACGUAAGCAAGCAGCUGCAGACCCAUUAGACCGUACCCUGCAGGGCUGUCAUAAGCAUACAGCACCUCGCCUGGAUCAAAGAACUACAGACACACACGCAGUGGGAGUGGGAACAGGGAAAUCACCGCCCUUGGCAACCCAUCUGUAUGACUGAUGGUUUUAAACCCGUCCAUGGCACAAUCUGUUAGGCUGCAUAAGUGGAAAAUGGCGGAACAUUCCUUAAAUCCAAACAUCUAAGGCUGAAUUAAAGCAAAGGGUGACAUUGAAAGAAGAUGCAACAGGAGCUCUUUAUUGAUACGGCAAGAGCUUAUCUGGGUCAUUCUCUCUAACUGUCUUUCUCUCUCUUUAUCUAUCUGUCUAUCUGCCGGGUUCCAUUACAGCACACUACAGCAGCACAACAUGCUCAAGCUGAGUAACUUCAUCUCACAGCCUUACAUUAUGUAUAGAGUGGAGUAGCUCUCGUAGGCAGCAUGGGAAACUGCAGCUGAUAGGGCUCAAAGAUGACGAGUCCUCCGACUUUAUAUGCAUUAGAUAAUAUGGAAAUUAAUAGACAUUUGAAGACAUUUCUGGUAUGGAAUGUGGUUAUUUAUGCACCUUUCUGUGGUGGUUAUCUAUGGUAUAUUAAUUGCCUGCAUCCAUCAUUUCGACUGAAGUUAUUGAAGCAAAAUUAUAAUCAAAAAUUUUCUGAAAACUAAAUUACAAUAUAACAGUUAAGAAUUUUUUUCCACAUUUUAUUUGGUAACACUUUACUUAAAGCCUUUAUGUAUAAUACAUUAUAACCGGUUAGAAUGGGUACAAUGCAUUAUAAUUAUUCAUAAUGUGUGCUGUAAUAUAUGAUAUCUUGUCGGAAAUAAUUUUAACCGAAUUUAAAAUGCAUAGUGUAACGAUGAAUUGAUGAAUUAAGUGUUAUAAUGUAUUACCUGUUUACAUGACAUUUAUUCAUAAGAUUGUUAAAUGCAUUAUAAGGUGCAUUACAAGGCAUAAUUAAUGCAUUAAAACUAC
ensembl:lncRNA